rnacentral:rRNA from 1 species
GAUGAACGCUGGCGGCGUGCCUAAUACAUGCAAGUCGAGCGAACAGACGAGGAGCUUGCUCCUCUGACGUUAGCGGCGGACGGGUGAGUAACACGUGGAUAACCUACCUAUAAGACUGGGAUAACUUCGGGAAACCGGAGCUAAUACCGGAUAAUAUAUUGAACCGCAUGGUUCAAUAGUGAAAGACGGUUUUGCUGUCACUUAUAGAUGGAUCCGCGCCGCAUUAGCUAGUUGGUAAGGUAACGGCUUACCAAGGCAACGAUGCGUAGCCGACCUGAGAGGGUGAUCGGCCACACUGGAACUUAGACACGGUCAAGACUCCUACGGGAGGCAGCAGUAGGGAAUCUUCCGCAAUGGGCGAAAGCCUGACGGAGCAACGCCGCGUGAGUGAUGAAGGUCUUCGGAUCGUAAAACUCGGUUAUUAGGGAAGAACAAAUGUGUAAGUAACUAUGCACGUCUUGACGGUACCUAAUCAGAAAGCCACGGCUAACUACGUG